AACAGGGAAGCUGUCCACAGGAGGUCUACAUGCUCCUCUUUUAGAAUGCUGAACUCUGGAUGCCAAAGAAGAUGACAAGAGGUGACAGCCAGGAGGGGAAAGUAAUUCUCAAAAAAGGCCCCACAAAAUCUGCAUCUGUUCCUGCUGCUCAAGAUCAAAAACUUUUGAAUGCCAGGGAAACGUCUUAUUAAGUCCAGACUGCUUGACUCAACACUACCACAGCACACUGCCUUAAGGACAAUAUCCUUAAAAGAGAAAUUAUGCUUUAUGGAGAGCUUGUUGUAUGCUGGAAACUGGACCGAGCUCUGGCCAUGCCUUAUACUUUCUUUUAACUUAUUGUUCUGCCCUUUGAAUUCAAUAAAUAAAUACCUCAUUCAAAAAUGUAUUUCAGACACACGAACAUAAUUACUGCCAUUAUGUAUGUUGUAUAAUGCAGUUGUACAUAAUUAAUAUUAUACAUUACAUAAGCAAUAAAUCAGUAUAUUAAGAUAUAUUGGACCUUGAAUUUACUUUCUUCAGGUAAAUAAACACUUCAUUAUUUUUUCAUCCAUCAAUGUUGAAAUAUAUUAUAAAUUAAGUCAUAGUAAUCUAGCUUCCUUUCUUUGGAAAACACAUGAGGAAAACAUGCUAUCUUGGGGCUGAAAAUGUUACUAUCAAAACACUUUUCUUCCAUUUAAAUGUAAGUUAUAUCAAUCACUUUAACAGCUAUACAAAUAAUUUUAACAUUUAUUUGAUUUGGGGGAAACAAUCACCUGAAGUUGGUUGAAAAGGAAUUAGUGAAUGAUUAAUGACCUCCAUUUAUGGCAUUUCCUUUGAAAAUGUCUCAUUAAAUAUAUCUUUAAACUUUUGUAAUAAAAAUAGAAUCAAGAAGUUUGCUUUCUUCAAGAAGAGUAACUCCUUUGAAAACAUUUAUUUAACAGUUACUUAUUACAUAUCCAUUAUGCAAAGCACUUGCAAUUCAUAUAUUCAUUUAUUCUUUGAACCUACUGAUGACCUACUAAGCCAGACAUUAUGUUGAAUCAUACAUUAGGUAUUCUGUGUGUGUGUGUGUGUGUAUGUGUGUGUGUGUGUGUGUGUGUGUGUGUAUUUCAAAGCAAAAGUAAAAUAGAUUCUUCCUCCUCAAGUUAUUCAUGACCCAGAAAGAGAGGAGCAGGAAAAUGACAUGCUAUAUGUUGUGAUUAAUGCUGUUACAAAGCACAGAAAUCUAACUGGAGCACGUAGCAGAGACAGCUAUCUUUGACUUCAUCCUGCAACUGGCCAUGCUUCCUAUAGGACAUUGAGCCCCGUCUUGAGAAUUCAGUAGAGUGAGGCAAGUGAAGAAGUAAGUUAGAAUGUUCCAACCACUGGGUAAAGUAUAAGCAAUGACAGUAUGUUGUAGAAGUUGCAAAUGGUUCUAUAUACCUGGGUCUUAAGUUGGAGAAAGAGAAAGAAGGAGAGAGGUCAAGAAGUUGUAAUGACGAAAAACUUGAGGCUACUAUAACGAUUGUCAGCCUUGGAUGACAUGUGGAACAAACUAACAUCAAGAGAGAUUGUCAAUACAAAGAAAGUGAUCAUUUGAUUAUUGAGCAAAUGCUGGAACAUUUUUGCACAUCUUUGAGUACUGGAUGGUAAAAAAUCAAUAGAAGCCAACUAUGAAUUGAGUCUUAAUAAACAAUAUUUCACUAAGCAGGAAGUAAGCCAACAGUUUAUCUUUGUGCCAUUAUACUUUCUAAGCUACUUUGCUUAGCAUGUUUGCCCAAU
rnacentral:lncRNA from 10 species